AUUUUCCCUAGCUGAUGUCGCUGUAACCACCACUUGCUUCUUCUUCUUCUUUUUUGGAUCAUCGAUGUUUUUCCCGAAGGCGUGCUGUUUCUCUUUACCACAAAAGAAUUGUCAAAUGACCAAGGAGGAUGCCGUUCGGAGUUUCCAAUUCUUCCACAGGUUAGCAGCCCCGAAUACAUCGCAGUGGUAUAUAAUUUGGUGUGGAUGGAUACAAAAUUUUGAUUUCAAUUUCUUUCUUCAUCUAUACGUGCAUCUAUUCAAAUAGAUGUGUUGGUUCAUGUCCAUGUAUGAUUUUGGAUUAUUAUUUCUUGAUGUCUUUUUUAUUUCUCUCCACAAAUUAUAAUUGUAAGUAUAUUUUCAUUGAAGUGAUUUGUAAUCAAGCUAAGUGUCAUGACCCGAGCAGAGGCCUUGGUCGUGAUGUGCAUUCCGAACCA